rnacentral:rRNA from 1 species
UACGUAGGGGGCAAGCGUUGUCCGGAUUUAUUGGGCGUAAAGAGCGUGUAGGCGGCCAGGUAGGUCCGUUGUGAAAACUCGAGGCUCAACCUCGAGACGCCGAUGGAAACCAUCUGGCUAGAGUCCGGAAGAGGAGAGUGGAAUUCCCGGUGUAGCGGUGAAAUGCGCAGAUAUCGGGAAGGACACCCGUGGCUAAGGCGGCUCUCUAGUACGGUACUGACGCUGAGACGCGAAAGCGUGGGGAGCGAACAGG